AGACUCUUGUUUUGAUCAAUUGCCUAAAAAGGCACUCAAGUCCUUCUUCCUGGUCCCGAAUGCAAGACUCCAGCUUGUUAAGCUGGUUCUGCACAUUAUCGACAUUUUGGUGUUGAGAUUUGCUUGUCUUGUGUCCAAUGAGAGAGUUCAAUGCAGCAUCCACUUGUGCAAACUCAUUUGCUUCUGCUUCUUCCUCACAAGCAACUUUUUUUGAUUGCAUUAUCUUGGAGACCAAUGACCAGCUACUUGUCUUUGAUUUUGGCCCAGAGACAGAGGACAAAAGUGACUCAAACACUGCAAGAGUGACUGCUUCUACUUCUCUCAACUUCUCAUGAUCCUUGUUGAGGGAAGAGAAAGCGGAUUUGUUUGCUAUUGCCUUCAAACUACCCAUAGCCUUGUUGAUUGUUUCACCAUCUUCCUAGAGGAUGACAUCCUUGGCACUGCUGCAAACAUCUAAGAGUCUCAGAGAGCCAUCUAAUAUCUCAUUAGCCCAUUUCUCAUUCUGCUCUUGGGCUAAGGCCUGUUGAGUGAGGGGCAACUGAAGCAACCUAUCAACACAAUCAUGCAAUUCUUGGAGGCCACUUAGUUUGUGGCUUAUUGAUGAUGAUGAAGACGUGGAGGUGGCCUCAGAAGACCUCAAUCUACACAAAUGUUCUUCAACUUCUUGAACGAUUGGGUGUGGCCUUGAAGGGAAGCUGUUAGAGCAAGUUGAGGAGGGGGACAUGGAAUCUCAUCCACUACAAUCAUCAGUGGGAGGUCCUUGACAUGAUGGUUAAGCAAGCAGCAAGCCUGAUCUAUAAUUUUAAGGCUUUCUAAAUGGUUGUAGUGAAUGAAGCAAGUCCUUGAUAUGAUUGCUGGGCAAGUAGGAGGCAAGAUCUGCAACCAGUAUUAAUAAGUAUUGGAGAAAAUGGCAUGAAACAGACUUGGUGA